GAUGAACGCUGGCGGUAUGCUUAACACAUGCAAGUCGAACGGUCACUUCGGUGAUAGUGGCGGACGGGUGAGUAACGCGUGAGAAUCUGUCUUCAGGACGGGGACAACAGUUAGAAAUGACUGCUAAUACCGAAUGUGCCGAAAGGUGAAAGAUUUAUUGCCUGAAAAAGAGCUCGCGUCAGAUUAGCUAGUAGGUGGUGUAAGAGACUACCUAGGCGACGAUCUGUAACUGGUCUGAGAGGACGAUCAGCCACACUGGAACUGAGACACGGUCCAGACUCCUACGGGAGGCAGCAGUGGGGGAAUUUUCCGCAAUGGGCGAAAGCCUGACGGAGCAAUACCGCGUGAGGGGCGAAGGCUUUUGGGUCGUAAACCUCUUUUAUUAGGGAAGAUUUCAGGACGGUACCUAAUGAAUAAGCAUCGGCUAACUCUGUGCCAGCAGCCGCGGUAAU
rnacentral:rRNA from 1 species